GCCAGGUGUGGUGGCGUAUGCCUUUAAUCCCAGCAGCUUGGAGGCUGAGAUAGGAGGAUCUUGAGUUCAAAGCCAGCCUCACCAAAAGAGAGGCGCUAUGCAACUCAGUGAGACCCUGCCUCUA
rnacentral:sRNA from 1 species